UGUCUAUGACAGCCCUGGAGACAGAGUUGCUGACCAGAAUCGGAAAGGAGGGUGCAGGCGGUGAACAUGCAGAGCCCCGUUCCUCGGUUUUUCCGUAGACACUGAGCACUCUGGGGGCUCUUGGCCCCCCAGCCCUCACUCCGGCCAAGGCGGUCUCUGGAGGCAGCCCUGAUGGGACCAGCGCAUCUCAUCAACCCAGAAUUCAGAACCCUGAACUUCACUUCACUUGCCUGUGUCUGUAAUCCCUACAGACACCUCCGGGGAAGAAGAACUUCCCUCGACCGCGGGGACUCGCCCAACCUGGGAACCUCUGGGGCCCGAGAGCCAAGAAAGACCCCCUUCCUUGCUCUUUUCCCGGGGAUGCAGAAGUCAGCGGACGUCCCAGGAAUCUGCAGCCUCUUCACCCCCGCACAACACAGGCACAGUCCUCGCUUUGCACCCCGCUGUGUUUCCCACGCCGAGGGCACAGUUGGCACCUUCUGGAUACUCGUACCCAGGCUUGGACCGGAGAAGAGAAUGGCAACCCACUCCAGUACCCUUGCCUGGAAAAAUCCCAAGGAUGGAGGAGCCUGCACUGGGUACAGGUAUGAUGAGAUGUUCCACUGAGCAUGCUCCUAUAUGUUUGUGUACUGCCUCUCCAGUAGGAAGAAAGGCCUUGGCCCUCCCCCUAAAAUCUCUCUUCAUUCCUCCUGUACCUCCCACACACCAUGGCACAGCUGUCACCAGUGUGCCUGUUUGGGAAGAGAGACCUGCAGCUGCAGGCUUGGAGAAAGGUUUUUAAUUAAAACCACAAUCUGUUUAAGUAUUUAUUGGGCUCUGUGACUUUAAUUAUUUUCUAGGGAAAAACAGAAAAAUCCACAUUUGCAUAUGGGAAGACUGUUGAUUUCAGAGGAAAGUAGCAACCUGUGGCAGUUUGCUGGAGGCAACUGGGAGGAAUUUCCUGAAUGGUUCAAAUGAAGCUCGACAUUAUUAAUAAGCUGGAAUCCAGUCCAUGACCUUCCUCCCAGCGCUUUCAUGAAAUUAGCUUAAC
rnacentral:lncRNA from 1 species